AAUUAAGAAUUGUAGUAGUGGUGAAUAUGAUCGAAUCUAUAAGGAAUUAAGAACCAAUAUUCUUCUAUGACCAGUGAUAGAAGUAAAACCUAGAGGUUUUUAUUUUGGGACAAAAUGAUUAAAUAAAACAGCAAAACUUUAAGCCAAUUAACAUAGAAAAUAAUUAAGCAAAAUAUCAUAGUAGAAAUAAGUUAUGAGAGAGCUCCAGUUAGAGAAGUAAUAUCAGUUUUAACUUACAGGAUUGAUCAUUGAAGCAAAGAUAAUUCCUACCAACUCUCAAUAAACUGGUUCUAGUUAUUGGAGAUACUCCUAACAAACAAUCUUUUCUUAAUCCUAAAUUAACUAAAAGAUAUUCAUUGGUUAACCCUUAUUAAUCAACAACCUCAGAGAUGCUUCUAGAAUUUAGUUUACUAACAACAUUAAAAGGUAGAAAGACCUGAUUUUAACCAAUGAACUUAAUCGCGUAGUCCAUUUAAGUCGGAUUAUAUAUCCCUUUAGUACGACACCAAUUUACCACUAGCAUCAAGACAACCUAAAUGAUUACAGAUUUAGGAAUCUUGAAUGACAAUAUGUUAUCGUGGUAUGUGCACAACGAGCCCUAUUGAAUAGAUAACAGAUAAAAAUAUUUAUCUGCGCAGUAGGAUUUACAAAUACUGAAGUUAAAUAAGAAUAAAAGAAAAAUAAUUCAAUCUCAUAAUCAUAAAGUUGAAACUUUAAUUAGAUCUCUAACUGGAAAAAGAGUUAGUGAAUUGCUCAUGUUGAGCAUGAUAUAACAGAAAAUCG
rnacentral:lncRNA from 1 species